rnacentral:rRNA from 1 species
ACGCGUGAAACCUUACCAGGGUUUGACAUUUCCCUGCAUGCCCGGGAAACCGGGAGGCCUACGAGGGUGGGAAACAGGUGCUGCAUGGCUGUCGUCAGCUCGUGUCGUGAGAUGUUGGGUUAAGUCCCGCAACGAGCGCAACCCCCUGUGUCCAGUUAUGCUUUUCUGGGACAGACUGCCGGGAACAAACCGGAGGAAAGGUGGGGAUGACGUCAAGUCAGCAUGGCCCUUACAUCCUGGGCGAGAAACA